AUAUUGUACUUUCUAUCACAACUCAAUAAUACACUUUUCAUAUUAUUCUCUCAGUCUCUUGUUUCUAACAAAACAUAUGUUUCCGCGUCCACUCCCGCGUCCAAAGUUCAAAGACGCAAACUCCCCCAAAUUCCCUUGUUCAACCCGUGCCCACCACCAACACCUCCUUCUCCCUCUGCCGAAGCUUCCACGGCCCCUCGCCGGUGCAACUGUAGGAUCUGGUCCCUGCUUUCUUGCAUAUCUCGCACACGAAACAGUUCUUCGCCAUUAGUAACUUUGGCGAUAGAGCUAUUACUUCUGCCUCUGGAUCUGCAUGCUUCAAUUCAUCAAUUCACAUAUAUAAUAACAGAUUUCAAGCUAGGUAUUCUUUAAUUUCUUGCCUGGUCUUCUUGGUUGACUUCGCUUUCUCUUCACUACUGCUGGAAUUGAAUUAGGGUUUCGGUAACUAGAAGGAGCUGCUGCUGAUGAAGACAUCAUCAUGAUUGAUGAAAUAUGCUUUAUUUAUUGCUUGGUUUGAAUAAGCUAAGCAUGAGAUGCAUGAUACAUAAUUACAAUUAUAAUUACAGUUUUAAGACUAAGAAUCGAAAUCCAAAAACCCUCCAUUCAUCAAUUUUGUUUGUAGCUACCUUUAGUUAGUGAUAACAACUUUAUAUUAAGUUAGUUAUGUAUAGUUAGUCAUUACUAUAAUUAGCUGAACUCUUUCUUUCUAUCGUAACUAAGAAUUCAAUUCAUAAUCAAUGUUAUUCUGAUUUUCUCUUUGAUAGCAGAUUCACCUCUACUUUCAUUUUGCAUAUUACGACUCAAUUUCUUUCCUUGAUCUCUAGUACCUAACAUCCUUCUUCACACUGAUCUCUUAUUGGAUCUAAAGUAAUUAUAUUAGUCUUUUUUAUAAUUUGAGCAUGAGUAAUUAUUAUAUCAUUAUAAUUCUUAUUAUUUUGACAUUAACUAAUAUGCUACAUAAUCUCUUAUGAAAGCUUAUUUUGCCACACAGCACACUACACUACAACUACUACUUUCGGCAGAAUAGAAAAGUAUAUAAUAUAAAAGCCUCUUGCUAACUACUACUUUCAGGUUGAUUUCUCUCCCUUUAGCUGAUGGUGUCUUGCUUGAGUUGUAAGAAUUAAAGUGAAGAAAAAUACUAAAAUAUAAUGAGAGUGCCUCAUAUUGGGCUUGUUUAAUUAAUAAGUAAUGAGAAGCAAUGGUAUAGAAGAAGAAGAAGAUAGAAAGCAAAGUUAAUGGGACCUUGAAGUACAUGCAGGGUGAGUUACUAUAUAUAUUAUAGGCAUUGGGGUUGGGCCUUUAAUUUGCUUUAAGAGAAUGUGGAGUCAGCAUAUGUCUAUUCUCAAAAGAGUAAAAAUUGAUAACAAGUAUAACAAGUACAGAUAGCAAAUCAUUUAUUCUUGGUUUGGAUGCAUAUUAUAUUUCUAGUCAUUUGUGCUUGCAUUUGUUAGUUACUUGCUCUGUUCACUCUUUGUUAUUUUUGGAUUGUAUUUUAAUAACACUUAACAGCUGAUGGAAGUAGUAAUAACUUAAUUCAAACUUUAGUUUGGAUUCUAAAUCCAACUCUUUCCAAUAACAAUCGAAUGGUUUUUAAGAUUUAUUAUGUCUUGAUAUAAGUACUAAGGUACCUUGUUCAAUUACUACCACAAAAAGCUCUUAUCCUGUUUUGGAAAUGCAAGUGUAUGCUUAUUGAUUUAGCAACCAAACUCUUAGAUUCCUAUCAUAUUUGCAAACAAUGACCAUUCAUUCAUGAUACCAAGUGGUCAUGGUAGGUGACACAUUAUUCACUAUUCAGUGUUGGCAACUUGAUUCAGCCUCAAAAGUGUUUGAACAUUUAGUGGCUAAUUUGUUUUGCUUUAAGACAAAAGACAUGAUUUCAAAAGACAUAAGUAAAGCUGCCUUGUCCAUCUGCAAGAUCAACUUGUUACACUUGAAUUGAAAAUUCAUAUAUUAUAAAUCAUAUCUAUAAAUUUUUAUAAUCCGACAUUGUUUAAAUCACCUUCUAUAUACAUAUUCUUGAUCAGAAACUUCACAAAUUCAUUAAUUAUGUUUAUAUUUUCAUGGUAUCAUUCAAAUUAACUAUGCCCUGUUUCAAAUGGCAAUACCUUAUAGUAUUUAAGACACAUUAAAAUUAAAAUGAGCUAUUGUACCUUAUCAGUUUUUGGAAUUAGUUUCCUUAGACUUGUAAGCUGUGCAUUGAUCCGGUCCCUGCGCCACUUCUCGGCCUGACUGUGGCUCUUGGAAGCACUAGCAUAUGGGAAGAACUAAGGUAAUAACCUGCAUGGGUGAUUCUAAUUGAACUUGUGGCUCUCUUAUUACAGCUUGAUAUUGCUGUACUUCAGUUUCAAAAUCAAAAGCUUAUGCAGAAAUUAGAAACGCAGAAGCUAGAGCAUACAGCUCUUGAGAAUAAAUUUUCUCAAAUGAAGGAGAGGCAACAGUCAUAUGACUCUGCUUUAACAGUGGUUAAGAAAAACUGGGAACAGGCAAACAAUGUUGAUGAGACAGAUUUAUGUCUUGGGAGGCAGAAAUGGUGAGAUAAGUGUCUUGUUGUCCAGAAACUUCGUAGAGGCACACUCAAUUCUGCAGGGUUCAAAGCAAAAAUAUCACAAAUUUUCUUGUACAAGAACCAAUAACGGUAGCAGCAAUAACCCAUGUUACACCUGCCAAUAAUGUUUCAACCACUGAUCUUCCAGGUU